rnacentral:rRNA from 1 species
GUCUAUGGCCAUACCACCCUGAACACAUCUGAUCUUGGAAGCUAAGCAGGGUCAGGCCUGGUUAGUACUUGGCUGGGAGAUGAUAUGCAUAUGUACCAAUAUCUCAUGAUAAAUGUAUUCAUUAUGUAUC